rnacentral:rRNA from 1 species
AUUGAACGCUGGCGGCAGGCUUAACACAUGCAAGUCGAGCGGAGAUGAGGUGCUUGCACCUUAUCUUAGCGGCGGACGGGUGAGUAAUGCUUAGGAAUCUGCCUAUUAGUGGGGGACAACAUUCCGAAAGGAAUGCUAAUACCGCAUACGUCCUACGGGAGAAAGCAGGGGAUCUUCGGACCUUGCACUAAUAGAUGAGCCUAAGUCGGAUUAGCUAGUUGGUGGGGUAAAGGCCUACCAAGGCGACGAUCUGUAGCGGGUCUGAGAGGAUGAUCCGCCACACUGGGACUGAGACACGGCCCAGACUCCUACGGGAGGCAGCAGUGGGGAAUAUUGGACAAUGGGGGGAACCCUGAUCCAGCCAUGCCGCGUGUGUGAAGAAGGCCUUAUGGUUGUAAGGCACUUUAAGCGAGGAGGAGGCUACUGAGACUAAUACUCUUGGAUAGUGGACGUUACUCGCAGAAUAAGCACCGGCUAACUCUGUGCCAGCCGCCGCCGUAACAC